rnacentral:lncRNA from 1 species
ACCAUUUGAUACCAUCUGUUUCUCACACACAUCCAUGAGGGAAGAAUCAUUCCCAUUUAACAGACAAUGUAACUGGGCCUGAAUAUAGCUCAGCGACUUGCCCCAGGCCCACCAGGAAGUGGAUAAAGCCAUGCUCAACCCAGCACUUCUUCUCUCUACCUUCCACCGAUCCUGCCUGCUCAUCUUCCCUCCUUGGUGAAGGCAUGUGUGCUGUGCUCUGCUUAACUAAUUUCCCUCAGAUAUUCGCAUUUCUGUCUUUACAAUUUGGCAUCCCAGUGAGGUUUCCCUUUGUAUAUUUUCCGGUUCCUAUAUUCCCAUUAUUCAGGUAUCAUCACUCAAUAACCAUUUGACAGCAGUAAUGCUUUUCACAUGGAAAGAAUUGGGUUUUUAUUGAUGGCAAAUGUUGUGAUGAACUUUCAUGCCCACUUGGAGCCGGAGCACUUUUUUAUAGAAUGAACCACAAUGAGAAGCGUUUCCAAGAAAUGUCUUUGGAGUGUGGACUGAGAUGUACGUUUAGGAACAGGUCCUGUGGCCAGAGUGGGGAGAGAGGGGGCUUCCCAUUGUCAAAAUCUCAUCAAUCAAAAUGUAUAAUAGCAACAUUAUUAAUAACCCUAUAGUUGCAUUGCACUUGGUGCUCUUCCAAGCACUUCCCUAGAAUCCUAAAAUGAAGGCAGGGCAGAUAUUAUAUCCAUGUUACAGGUUAAACAACAUUGUAACAGGACUGAUAACACCAUGAAUGAGAAGUCAUUUGAUCAAUGGCCAAGGCAAUCCCCCCAGCCUGAGCUACUUCCCAGACCAGACCACAGAAGCAAGGCCAUGCUCACCGAGGACCCCACUUGUGGACUAGACUUCUGUCCUGCUGUGGCCUCAAAAGCAAUAGCCAGGGCCCCAUGAUGAAGCUGCCAUCAGAAGCACAGGUGUGCCUGGCAAGGACACAGGAGGACCACGGCUCCAUGCCGAUGAGAAUGGCAGCUAAGUCUGAAGCUUUCUAUGAUUUAGAUUCCUGGUUGCGAGAGGGAGCCUAUAGGAAUGGCGAGAAGAGUGAGAACUUUGCAGAGGCAGCAAGCUAGGAUUUUCUCUUUGGGUCACCGCGUGUUCUUUGGGGUCAUAUAAAGUACUCUGCUCAAGAACAAAGGCCAGUGUGGCUAUGAUGAAAAUGCAUUGACAGAGGGGCUUCAAUGUCUAUGGAACAGAAACAAGAGCCCUGGACCAAGAGGAGGAAAUGUGGAUUCACCAACAUGUUGAAAAUCAUUCUAACAUCUCCAGGCCUCAGCGUGGUCAUUCACAAAUGGAAUUCAACAAUUUCUAAGGCAACUUUUCUAACAUUUUGGAGAUAAAAAAUUUAAUGUUUAGUCCCUGUAACUAGCUUUGACAAAGAGAACACAGUGGAAGUGAUCCUGCCCACCCCUUUUCCAAGGUAGACCUUAAAAGACCUGUAGCUUCCACUAUUGUGCCUCCUAGAAGCCUGUACCAUGUAAGAAUUCUAACUACCAUGGGAACAUCAUGCUGUGAGGAAGCCCAAGCUAGCCAUUUGGGAGAGAGGAAGGCCACGUAGAGAAGCACCAAGAAACUAGACAUGUUUGUGAAGCCUACUUGAACUUUCCAGCCCAACUCCAGCUGAAUGCAUCCAAGUGAAUGGCCCCAGCUGAUCCCCUGUGGAGCAGAACCACCCUGCUGACUCCUGACUGAAUCCCUGAUCCACAGAAUUUGGCUAUGGGCUCAGAUCCUCUCUUACUUCAAGGGAUCUGGGCUGGAUGCUUGGGCGCGAGAGAGAAGAAUGGCUCUCAACUGGGCGGGGAAGAGUAGCCCGCAAGGAGGCAGCGGCUCCAGGAUGGGAAGUGAGGAUGCCAAAAAAGCAUCCCUAGGAAGGUUCCUGCCUUUCCACGAGGCUAUGGGGCUUUGAAGGCCUUGGAAGCAAAGCCCCCAGGAAUGACUGGAAGACAACACUCUGCAGACCCCUUCCACAGGGUACCCCUGCUCUCCAGGAAGGGCCUUCAGGGCAGCAUUUGGAGGUGGCAUGAGCUAGCAGCGGCGUGCAGCCUGGUCACUGUCUGAUCUGGUCAGCCCAGCCGCACAGAACACCACACAGGCUCUGGCAGCUCCCUGGGAAAGAAGAAAGCAGCAUCUUGCAUGUGUGGCUUAUUCUGAAAGGAAUAGUAUCUGAGGGAUUUGAUGGACUCUGACAGGGGGAAGAAGGUAGUGAAAAAGAUGGAACAAAGAUGCCAUUUAAAAAUACUGGCUCGUGUUCAGGAUUUCGCUAUUUUUUACUGCAAGGAACAAGUAAAAAAAAAAAUCCUCCUAUUGAUGAGUAUUUUUCUACAGUCAUUAAAAGUCAAAGGACUCAGGGCUUCCGACUUUCCCUCUUGGGAAACCUGUAAGCUCGUCUUCUGGACAGCUUAGAAAAGGGCUGGAUGGCGAAGGCGAGAGGCUUAAAGGCCCCCAGCAAGCAGCUCCGCCGAGGAACGGGUGCAGGGGACACACUGUGUUUUCAGUUCAGAUUCUGUGAUCUUUCUGCCAAACAGGGGUUUACAAAGCAAAAACCUCCAGAGAAUUCUCAUACUUUCUGGCUUAUUCUCCUGGUGUUCGUCUUAACAGGAAUCAGCUGUUUGCCUUCUCACUUAUACAGCAUGUUGCUGAGGCGAAUUUAGCAUCUGGCCUGGCUAUUAUUAAAAACAAGAACAUCCUGCUCUGUUGGGAGAACAGCACCACUGGCAAUAAAAGGACAGAGAUCAUUUGCAUUCAGGAUUCCAGAGAUGUGUUUCAGUUCAAUAUCUGCGCUCCCUCCUUCCACCCCUGCUUUCAUUUUAAGAUUUCCUGAUGCAUCCAUCACUUGCAGCGUGGUCAACUUUUUUUCUGAAACAGGCACACACAGGCAGAGCAUAUUUUUUCCUUUCACUGGGAGGCAGGAAUGACUGGAGUUGUUCAAACACCGGUCCGUUCCUGCAAUUCCUAUGAUAAAGUUGAACUACCAGAGGAAUUUUUUUUUUUUUUUUUACAACUGCGGAAAUGAAAAAGUAAACAAGACUGGGACUGCAUUGGUAUUUAGGCUCCAGCUUUUUGUUGUUGUUUUUGUCUUUCCCUUUUUUUAAGCCAUUGGGCUAGGAGCCUGAAGGGACCAUAUAAUAUGAAAAACGCUGAGAGGUUUUAUUAGCCAAUAAAAAAAAAAACUGAGUUCCUAUUAACCACUUAACUCCUUGCUGAAGUUCAAACUUGCUUUCUCCUUGGAUCCUUCUCUCCCUCUCAUGCCCACGAGGAAUGACGGUUGGUUCACCAAUCUUUCCCUGCACAACCUGAGCUCACAGUUUGUGCUCCAGAAGGUGUGGUUGAGAAUCGUAUUCAAUAAUAAUCUCUGUAUUUCUCAUCUGUGAAGCCAUAAAUAAGAUUUCUGUAAGGAGCCAAAUGUUCUACGCCCCCAAAUCUACACACACAAAGACUCUUUAAGCACUCUACUAAAAAAGAGUAAAGUCAUUGUGAUUUCUAGGAUUUUAAAUACUAAAUGAUGGUUAGGGAGAACAAAAUCAGGCUGAAGCAUUUCUGGGAUAAAUAAUGAUCCCACAAAACGCUCCUCUCAUUUGGGGGCAGAAGAAUGAAGGGAAACUCACAGAGAAACAGAAAAUGAAAUUGGUCCAACUAUUUCACUGCUGGAGAUAGAUGGAGUUAGGAUACAUAGGUGACUUGGUUUAGGAAAGAGAGGAUGUCGAAGGUGAUUUAAAUCCUAACACUGUUUUAUUAAUCGUGCCACAAUUCUACAUGUCAUGUGAUUUUGUUAUCUGCUUUUUGCUGCUUUUAAAUAAAUUUGUACUUUUCUAUCAAUCCAUCAUCCAAUUGUGUUUCGGGUGUUCUUGGCAUUCCCAUCUCUCAAAAACACCCUUAGUUUCUGCCA